rfam:Yangia sp. CCB-MM3 chromosome 1, complete sequence.
UUUGGUGGUCAUAGCGCAAGCAAAACACCCGGCUCCAUUCCGAACCCGGCCGUUAAGUGCUGCCGCGCCAAUGGUACUGCGUCUCAAGACGUGGGAGAGUAGGUCACCGCCAAAC